rnacentral:rRNA from 1 species
GCUUAACUGUCUCCCCUUUCAGGUCGGUGAAAUUGAUCUGCCCGUGCAGAAGCGGGUAUAAUUAUACAAGACGAGAAGACCCUUUGGAGCUUAAGGUACAAAACUCAACCACGUUAAGCAACUCAGUAAAAAGCAAAAACUUUAUGGAAUAUGAUAUUUUACCUUCGGUUGGGGCGACCACGGAAGAAAAAAGAUCCUCCGAGUGGACCGGGACAAACCUCCUAAAACCAAGAGACACACCUCUAAGCCACAGAACAUCUGACCAAACAUGAUCCGGCCAUAAAAGCCGAUCAACGAACCAAGUUACCCUAAGGAUAUCAGCGCAGUCCUCUCCUAGAGUCCAUAUCGACGAGGGGGUUUACGACCUCGAUGUUGGAUCAGGACAUCCUAAUGGUGCAGCCGCUAUUAGCGGUUCGUUUGUUCAACGAUUACAGUCCUACGUGAUCUGAGUUCAGAACGG